GCCAUUUGUUUUAAUACACGUCUUUGCACUUUUUAAUAGCAUUUGAACCCAACCACGAAAAUUAUCCCCAAAAUUGAAUUCCUUCAUAACGAAAUCUAGCCAUCCCCAUUCCAUCCUAUCAAAGGCCUUUUGUUGGUCUAAAAAAACAAUUAUACCCUCUUCAUCUUCAUCAUCAAUAUAUUUUAUGAUAUCCUGUAUCAUUCUAUUCGCUUCCGUUAUAUGUCUGCCUUUUACAAACCCUUUUUGGUCGGGAUGUAUAAGCUUAGGAAGGACUAUUUUUAAUCUUUCUGCUAGUAUUUUAGCUAUAAUUUUAUAAUCGCAAUUCAGUAGAGUAAGAGGGCGCCAGUUUCGUAUAUUUUCCCGUUCCCCGCCCUUAAAUAAUAAUGUUAAAACUCCUUUAUAUUGCGAGUCCGACAAUGUUUUGUCAUUAAAUAUUUCUUGCAAUAACGUACAAAAUUCUUCUUGUAUGAUAUUCCAAAAUAAUACAUAAAAUUCAGAUAUGAUCCCGUCCUCCCCUGGGGAUUUAUUUGUUUUUAUAAUUUUUAGAACUUUCAUUAUUUCCUCCGCUGUAAUAUCACGGUCAAGUAAUUUUUUGUCGUCAUCGUUU
rnacentral:lncRNA from 1 species